rnacentral:rRNA from 1 species
UACCAGCUCUCCGAGUUGUAGGGAUGAUUAUUGGGCUUAAAGCGUCCGUAGCUGGCUUAGCAAGUCUCCUGUUAAAUUCAGCGACCUAAUCGUUGAGCCGCGGGAGAUACUACUAGGCUAGGAGGCGGGAGAGGUCGACGGUACUUUCGGGGUAGGGGUGAAAUCCUAUAAUCCCGGGAGGACCACCAGUGGCGAAGGCUGUCGACUAGAACGCGCUCGACGGUGAGGGACGAAAGCUGGGGGGAGCGAACCGGAUUAGAUACCCGGGUAGUCCCAGCUGUAAACUAUGCGGGCUAGGUGUUGGGGUGGCUACGGGCCACUUCAGUGCCGCAGGAAAGCCAUUAAGCCCGCCGCCUGGGGAGUACGGCCGCAAGGCUGAAACUUAAAGGAAUUGGCGGGGAGCACCACAAGGCGUGAAGCUUGCGGUUC